UACAUGGGGUGCAAACGUUGCUCGGAAUUAUUGGGCGUAAAGCGCACGUAGGCGGUUCGUUAAGUCGGAUGUGAAAGCCCUCGGCUCAACUGAGGAAGUGCACCCGAAACUGGCGAGCUUGAGUACGAAAGAGGAUCGCGGAAUUCCCGGUGUAGAGGUGAAAUUCGUAGAUAUCGGGAGGAACACCGGGUGGCGAAGGCGGCGAUCUGGGUCGAUACUGACGCGUG
rnacentral:rRNA from 1 species